ensembl:lncRNA
CGCAGAUAUCAGUCAGCUGUAGAACACUUUAGCACAAAGAGAACAACUAGGUUGCAACACGCCAUUAACCAAGAUCAAUCACCACAACAACUAGUGACACAAACCUUUCAGAUGUUUCACUAUCAGGAAAACACUGUAACUUCCAACGAGGCUAUGAGCGGAGUCAUUAUGGCGGGUGAAGCUGUGAGACCUCAGGAGGAGAAUGGCUCUUUUAACAUGCAGCUGAUGAAUAAUGAGGGGAAUAGAAUCUCCACUGCUUCACCUUCUGAGAUGCCAUCAGACAAAGUGGGGCCAGAGGAAAGUGAGUGGAUCACAAGGAUGACAGCCAUGGAGCAAAAAUACAAAGUAGAGAUUGAGCGUCUGCAGCAGGUAAACGAGGACAAUCAAAUGGAAAACAAAAAUUUAGAUGAGGAAAACACCAACCUGAGGAAGCAAUUAGACUAUCUGAAGUGUCACAAUGUCUUCCUAGCAAGUGAACUGAAUCAAGUUGGGCAGCAAAUGCUCGAAAAGGACAAUGAAGUAAGCCGCCUGCAGAUGUCAAGGAAUGAGUUUGAAAGAUUAGAAAAGCUUACAAAAGAAAAAAAACAUCACGAGCAGGUAAAAGCCAAAUACGAUGCCCUCAAAUAUCAGCUACACAACGGUAUAGAGAGUGUGACUGCCAAUAGUGAGAUAAUGAAUAAAGAAAUGAAGGAGAUGAAGCAGAAACACAAAGUGGAGAUUGAGCGUCUGCAGAGCGAAAAUGAGAGGUUUCAGGAGGCAAACGCCUACCUGAUGGAGGUAGACCACCUGCUAGCUCAGCAGAAGAUGAUGGAAGAGGAGAUGCUUAAAAAAGAGCAGGAGCUUGAAAAGCAGCUAAAGCUCAAGGUGGAGCUGGAGCAAAAAUACAAAGCAGAAAUCGAGCGUUUGCAGACUGAAAACGAGGAGUAUCAGGAGGCAAACGCCUACCUGAAGAAUGUAGAGCACCAGCUGGACCAGCAGAAGAAGAUAAAAGAGGACAUGCUUAAAAACGAGCAGGAGCUUGAAAAGCAGCUUAAGCUCCAAGUGGAGCAGGAGCAGAAAUACAAAGCAGAGUUUGAGUGUCUGCAGAGGGAAAGUGAGGAUUAUCAGAAGUAUUUAGAGAUGGAUAUUCAGAGUAAAAAGGAGGGUGAGCAGCGCAACGAGGAGAUUCAGAAGGAAAAUGAGGAGUAUCGGAAGGAAAACUAUGACCUGAAAGAUAAGUUACAGAAUCUGAAGAAAACAAACUUCUGCCAGUCAAGUGAACUGACCCAGGUGGAGCAGCAACUCAAAGCAAAGAUCAAAGAUCUGCAGAGGGAAAACAAGGAUUGUUGGCGUAAAAACAAGCAUUAUCGGUUGGAAACAAACUACCUGAAGAAGAAGUUAGACCGUCUGAACAAUGAAAACUGGACAAACUGGAGCCAAAGAAGGAGACAUAGAAGAUGGGAUGCUUAAAAAAGAGGUAAAAGAGCAGCUAAAGCUCAAAGAGAAGUUGGAGGUGAAAAACAAAGGACAGAUGGAGCAUCUGCAGAGGGAAAAUGAGGAGAAUCUGAGCUCUAAAAAGCAGAAGACAGAAUAGGUGAGGUCUUUAUGGCGACGAACGCCACAAUGGGGACUUCUGCUGGAACAAUCAAUGGAC